UGAGCCAGCCGGGUGACCGCGGCGCUAUUCCGAAAGGAAGGCGCUGAGGAAAGUCCGGGCUCCCAGGGCAGGAUGCCGGCUAACGGCCGGUGAAGGCGACUUCAAGGACAGUGCAACAGAAAGAGACAACCGGAUUCGUCCGGUAACGGUGGAAAGGUGAGGUAAGAGCUCACCGGUGCCGCGGCGACGCGGCAGCCAUGCAAACCCCAUCCGGAGCACCGCCGAGGAGGAACGCCUGUCGCCCGCAGGU
rnacentral:RNase_P_RNA from 1 species